rnacentral:rRNA from 1 species
UACAGAGGGGGCAAGCGUUGUUCGGAAUUACUGGGCGUAAAGGGCGCGUAGGCGGCCUGCUAAGUCGAACGUGAAAUCCCUGGGCUCAACCCAGGAACUGCCUUCGAUACUGGGGACCUUGAGUUCGGGAGAGGUGAGUGGAACUGCGAGUGUAGAGGUGAAAUUCGUAGAUAUUCGCAAGAACACCAGUGGCGAAGGCGGCUCACUGGCCCGAUACUGACGCUGAGGUGCGAAAGCGUGGGGAGCAAACAGGG